GACGAACGCUGGCGGCGUGCCUAAUACAUGCAAGUUGAGCGCUGAAGGUUGGUACUUGUACCAACUGGAUGAGCAGCGAACGGGUGAGUAACGCGUGGGGAAUCUGCCUUUGAGCGGGGGACAACAUUUGGAAACGAAUGCUAAUACCGCAUAAAAACUUUAAACACUAGUUUUAAGUUUGAAAGAUGCAAUUGCAUCACUCAAAGAUGAUCCCGCGUUGUAUUAGCUAGUUGGUGAGGUAAAGGCUCACCAAGGCGAUGAUACAUAGCCGACCUGAGAGGGUGGUCGGCCACAUUGGGACUGAGACACGGCCCAAACUCCUACGGGAGGCAGCAGUAGGGAAUCUUCGGCAAUGGACGAAAGUCUGACCGAGCAACGCCGCGUGAGUGAAGAAGGGUUUCGGAUCGUAAAACUCUGUUGGUAGAGAAGAACGUUGGUGAGAGUGGAAAGCUCAUCAAGUGACGGUAACUACCCAGAAAGGGACGGCUAACUACGUG
rnacentral:rRNA from 1 species